GACGAACGCUGGCGGCGUGCUUAACACAUGCAAGUCGAACGGAAAGGCUCCAGCUUGCUGGAGUACUCGAGUGGCGAACGGGUGAGUAACACGUGGGUAAUCUGCCCUGCACUCUGGGAUAAGCCUGGGAAACUGGGUCUAAUACUGGAUAUGACCUUUCUCCUUAUGGGGUUUGGUGGAAAGUUUUUCGGUGUAGGAUGAGCCCGCGGCCUAUCAGCUUGUUGGUGGGGUGAUGGCCUACCAAGGCGACGACGGGUAGCCGGCCUGAGAGGGUGAUCGGCCACAUUGGGACUGAGAUACGGCCCAGACUCCUACGGGAGGCAGCAGUGGGGAAUAUUGCACAAUGGGCGGAAGCCUGAUGCAGCGACGCCGCGUGAGGGAUGACGGCCUUCGGGUUGUAAACCUCUUUCAGCAGGGACGAAGCGUAAGUGACGGUACCUGAAGAAGAAGCACCGGCUAACUAUGUGC
rnacentral:rRNA from 1 species